GCUUGGGAAGCGUUAUCCGGAAUUAUUGGGCGUAAAGAGCUCGUAGGCGGUUUGUCGCGUCUGCCGUGAAAGUCCGGGGCUCAACUCCGGAUCUGCGGUGGGUACGGGCAGACUAGAGUGAUGUAGGGGAGACUGGAAUUCCUGGUGUAGCGGUGAAAUGCGCAGAUAUCAGGAGGAACACCGAUGGCGAAGGCAGGUCUCUGGGCAUUAACUGACGCUGAGGAGCGAAAGCAUGGGGAGCGAACAGGAUUAGAUACCCUGGUAGUCCAUGCCGUAAACGUUGGGCACUAGGUGUGGGGGACAUUCCACGUUUUCCGCGCCGUAGCUAACGCAUUAAGUGCCCCGCCUGGGGAGUACGGCCGCAAGGCUAAAACUCAAAGGAAUUGACGGGGGCCCGCACAAGCGGCGGAGCAUGCGGAUUAAUUCGAUGCAACGCGAAGAACCUUACCAAGGUUUGACAUGANCCGGAAAGAUCUGGAAACAGGUCCCCCACUUGUGGUCGGUUUACAGGUGGUGNAUGGNUGUCGUCAGCUCGUGUCGNGANAUGUUGGGUUAAGUCCCGCAACGAGCGCAACCCUCGUUCUAUGUUGCCAGCACGUGAUGGUGGGGACUCAUAGGAGACUGCCGGGGUCAACUCGGAGGAAGGUGGGGACGACGUCAAAUCAUCAUGCCCCUUAUGUCUUGGGCUUCACGCAUGCUACAAUGGCCGGUACAAAGGGUUGCGAUACUGUGAGGUGGAGCUAAUCCCAAAAAGCCGGUCUCAGUUCGGAUUGGGGUCUGCAACUCGACCCCAUGAAGUCGGAGUCGCUAGUAAUCGCAGAUCAGCAACGCUGNGGUGAAUACGUUCCCGGGACUNGUACACACCGCCC
rnacentral:rRNA from 1 species